GAUGAACGCUGGCGGCGUGCUUAACACAUGCAAGUCGAACGAAGCACUUUAUUUGAUUUCCUUCGGGACUGAUUAUUUUGUGACUGAGUGGCGGACGGGUGAGUAACGCGUGGGUAACCUGCCUUGUACAGGGGGAUAACAGUUGGAAACGGCUGCUAAUACCGCAUAAGCGCCCAGCAUCGCAUGAUCCAGUGUGAAAAACUCCGGUGGUAUAAGAUGGACCCGCUUUGGAUUAGCUAGUUGGUGAGGUAACGGCCCACCAAGGCGACGAUCCAUAGCCGAACUGAGAGGGUGACCGGCCACAUUGGGACUGAGACACGGCGCAAACUCCUACGGGAGGCAGCAGUGGGGAAUAUUGCACAAUGGGCGAAAGACUGAUGCAGCGACGCCGCGUGAGCGAAGAAGUAUUUCGGUAUGUAAAGCUCUAUCAGCAGGGAAGAUAAUGACGGUACCAGACUAAGAAGCACCGGCUAAAUACGG
rnacentral:rRNA from 1 species